UACAGAGGGUGCGAGCGUUGUCCGGAAUCACUGGGCGUAAAGGGCGCGUAGGUGGCCUGGCAAGCGUGCGGUGAAAGCUCGGGGCUCAACCCCGAGUCGGCCGUGCGAACUGCUGGGCUCGAGCACUGUAGAGGCAGGCGGAAUUCCGGGUGUAGCGGUGGAAUGCGUAGAGAUCCGGAAGAACACCGGUGGCGAAGGCGGCCUGCUGGGCAGUGGCUGACACUGAGGCGCGACAGCGUGGGGAGCAAACAGG
rnacentral:rRNA from 1 species